UCUGCCGUCAGCCGUGCGCCGAGCCCCGUCUGCAGGAACAGAAAGGACAGCACCAAAGGGGGCUCACGGGGAGAGGAAAAGCCAUGUACAAGGGAAGGCUGAGAGGACUAUACUUACUGUUGGAAAACCUUCGUCCGAGGACAUGCUGCUGAUGAUUCCUGGACUGUGGGCUUUCAAUCAAGGAUAACCAAGAAUCGUUUGAAGCUCCAGGGCAUCUUUGAGGAUCUCCCAUUUAUAGAAUCAUAGAAUUACAGAAUUUCUCAAGGAUAUAUGGAAGGAACCCAUAAGGAUCAUCAUGACCAAUGCCCUGCUCCUCACAGGACUACCUGAAACUAAACCGUAUGAUUAAAAGUGUCAUCCAGAUGCUCCUUGAAGUCUUUAACAGGCUUGCUGCCAUGACCACUUCCCUGGGGAGCCAGUGACCAACCACUCUCACAGUGAAGAACCUUCUCCUAAUGUCCAAGCUGAACUGCCCCUGAUGCAGCUUCAUUCCAUUUUCUCAUGCCCUGUUGAUGGACACCAGAGAGAGGAGAUCAGGACCCAGGAUUACCCUGUCCCAGGUGGAGGAUCUGGUAGUUGCCCUUGUUACAGUUUAUGUAUUUGCCCAGCUCUCUAGUCCAUCCAUCUCGCUUUAAGGCUUUUCUGUCCUCGAGGGAGUCCACAGCUCCUCCUAGUUUAGUAUUAUUGGCAAACUUACUUAAGGUAGAUAAUUAAUCCAGAUAAUUUAUAAAACCAUUAAAGUGCAGUGGGCUUAAAACUGAGCCCUUGAGAACCCCAGUGGUUUUCUUGAGGAGCCUGAUGUAACCCCAUUUACUAUAACCCUUUGAGCCUGACUCAUUAGCCAGUUGCUCACCUACUGUAUGUUUAACUGUGUGUUGAAUGGUUUAUCCAGAAGGAUACUGUAAUAGACAAUAUAAAAAAGCUUUGCUAAAAUCCAAACUGACCACA